ACUUUACUCACUCCGUCCCAAAAUUCUUGUCUUAGAUUUGUCUAGAUACAGAUGUAUCUAACACUAAAACGUAAUUAGAUACAUCCGUAUUUAGACAAAUCUAAGAUAAGAAUUUUGGGACGGAGGAAGUACUAU
rnacentral:pre_miRNA from 1 species